CUACCACUGCUUUUACUUGGGAUGGUGUUCAAAUUGUGGGAUGUCUGAGAAAGCUGGGUUCCACGUUUUGCUAUGCAACCUGUUCCUCACAUCCUGGACUUUGCCGGCUCCAGUCCUCAGUUGCCAUUCAGUAAGCAUUGUGACGUGUAAGGCUCUCAGGAGAAGCCAGAUCCCAGUGGCAUUAGUGUGACAAACAAGCUGUGCCCAAGUUGCUGACACUCUGGCAGAGUCCAGGACAUCCAGGAAGACAGAGGUGGUGAGAUAUCACCAACUAUGACUCUGACAUCCAAUGAAGCAGUCGAGGGCCAUGAUGCUUUUCUGACUGAAGCAACACAGCCUGAAGCCCAAAUCCCGAGGCUGUGCACCAAAGUCUUUCCCUGUUUGUCACUGGUACUGCUGCUAUUGAUUUAAAAAUCUAGUUCAAUAUGGGAAAAAUACACUUUACAAUCUCCUGGAACAUUCUGUCUCAGAGAGGACCGUGUCUACACUUCAAAGGAAAGACCAG
ensembl:lncRNA